rnacentral:misc_RNA from 1 species
GGGAUCUAUCAAAGAAACGUCACAUGGUACCCAAGCCAGCAGCAAAUCGGAAAACAGGUGUUCUGUUUUAAAGCACUGGACUCGGCAAGAUUGGAAACUGAAAUGCGAUGUGUGACGAUUCUCGUUGGUCUUAGUAACACUCCACGAGUGAUUAUAGGAAGUCGCAGCCCAAGAAAUCCAAUCAGUACGAGAGGACCAGGCUUUGUCCAGUUGAGCAUCAAGUUUGACCGAGUGGUAAGAUCAGCUUAAUCAUUAGCAUCCUUAAUAACCGUAAUCCUUGGUUUUUAUCUCAUCACUAUCAUAUUUAUGAACAUUUUUUUGUUCUCAGUAGCAUCAAGAGAGGAUCAAGAGUAACAGAGUGAACCUUUCAUAUGCUGUAGGCCUUAUUUCCAACGUAAUCCAAGUCAAGUUAUUUUUAGACAUUGCACCCAGUUCUUUCACGGAUAGAUUUACCGCGCACUAUGCGUGAAUUGUUUUUUCGAGGAUCAAAAUACGUCUCAAGCUUCCAGGGUUGUCCACGUGAGUAAAAUCCACCUCAUAGGAUUGGCUAUCUCUAGAUCACCCUGGGAUUUCUGACACCAAGAAUGAUCCAAAAUAAAUUGAGAAGGAUUUCCUCGGGACUGAGGCGUAUACAGAGGAUUAACUAUCUUACCCUUCUUACCCUUAAUCUUCUCUUGGUAUCGACUAUCACCUUUACUAAGCAGCCUUGAAUGCUCUUUGAUGUCUUACUUUUGUCAAAAUGGGACAAAAUUUCCGUUAACGUGCGUAUUGUCUGAUCCGAUAACAGAUAUAAGUUCAGAUGAGUUCUUCCUGUUAUUUAUUUACAAUAAUCAAAAAGUCUCCAAAAUUUCCCCAUGCCCUCUCCACCCGGAACGCCUGGACCAAAACUAACCAUGUUACUAGUUACUAUUGUUUCAGCAUAAUGCUUCGAUUGCAUAGUCGCGUGAUUGCGGCGAGAUUAUGAGGGUAUAUUGUGGGCAACACUAAUAUUUGUCGCCAUUGAAAGCAGCAAUAAGAAGGUUACCCAUGCCUACACUUGUUUGGUAAAAUGUUUUGGUUUAUCCACUUUUUGAGGAUGUCUUGUGUUCCUUACCUCAGCUACUGCCAUUUUCAGUAACAUGGAAACUCUGAGGUUCACACUGAGUUAAGUUUAGAGGGUCGCAGUUGGCAGAU